rnacentral:rRNA from 1 species
GACGAACGCUGGCGGCGUGCUUAACACAUGCAAGUCGAACGGAAAGGCCCUGCUUUCGUGGGGUGCUCGAGUGGCGAACGGGUGAGUAACACGUGAGUAACCUGCCCUUGACUUUGGGAUAACUUCAGGAAACUGGGGCUAAUACCGUAUAGGAGCUCCUGCUGCAUUGUGGGGGUUGGAACGUUUCGGCGGUAGGGGCUGGACUGGCGGCUUAUCAGCUAGUUGGUGGGGUAGUGGAUUACCAAGGCUUUGACGGGUAGCCGGCCUGGGAGGGUGACCGGCCACAUGGGGACUGCGAGACGGACCAGACUGCUACGGGAGGCAGCAGGGGGGAAUAUUGCACAAUGGGCGGGAGCCGGAUGCAGCAACGCCGCGUGCGGGAAGACGGCCUUCGGGGUGUGAACCGCUUUAGCCUGUGACGAAGCGGGAGUGACGGUAAUGAGUAAAGAAGCACCGGCUAACUACGUG